GGGAGUGAAAAAGAACCUGAAACCGUGUACGUACAAGCAGUGGGAGCCCCACCACCAAAGCAUUCUCUGGUGUUGAAGGCCCUGCAAAGCAGCAUCGCGGUGGCGGAGCGUCGUUUGCGACGCCCAACACACAAAACAAGCGGUGAGUGCUUUGGGGUGGGGUGACUGCGUACCUUUUGUAUAAUGGGUCAGCGACUUAUAUUCUGUAGCAAGGUUAACCGCAUAGGGGAGCCGUAGGGAAACCGAGUCUUAACCGGGCGUUAAGUUGCAGGGUAUAGACCCGAAACCCGGUGAUCUAGCCAUGGGCAGGUUGAAGGUUGGGUAACACUAACUGGAGGACCGAACCGACUAAUGUUGAAAAAUUAGCGGAUGACCUGUGGCUGGGGGUGAAAGGCCAAUCAAACCGGGAGAUAGCUGGUUCUCCCCGAAAGCUAUUUAGGUAGCGCCUCGUGAAUUCAUCUCCGGGGGUAGAGCACUGUUUCGGCUAGGGGGCCAUCCCGGCUUACCAACCCGAUGCAAACUGCGAAUACCGGAGAAUGUUAUCACGGGAGACACACGGCGGGUGCUAACGUCCGUCGUGAAGAGGGAAACAACCCAGACCGCCAGCUAAGGUCCCAAAGUCAUGGUUAAGUGGGAAACGAUGUGGGAAGGCCCAGACAGCCAGGAUGUUGGCUUAGAAGCAGCCAUCAUUUAAAGAAAGCGUAAUAGCUCACUGGUCGAGUCGGCCUGCGCGGAAGAUGUAACGGGGCUAAACCAUGCACCGAAGCUGCGGCAGCGAACGUAUCACUUAAAGCGAUUCAGCGGGUUACGAUUGACGGAGCGAAGCGACGUCAAAGCGUAUACAAAGUCGAGUCGGUUUAAGGAUACGUUCGUUGGGUAGGGGAGCGUUCUGUAAGCCUGCGAAGGUGGCCUGUGAGGGUUGCUGGAGGUAUCAGAAGUGCGAAUGCUGACAUAAGUAACGAUAAAGCGGGUGAAAAGCCCGCUCGCCGGAAGACCAAGGGUUCCUGUCCAACGUUAAUCGGGGCAGGGUGAGUCGACCCCUAAGGCGAGGCCGAAAGGCGUAGUCGAUGGGAAACGGGUUAAUAUUCCCGUACUUGGUGUUACUGCGAAGGGGGGACGGAGAAGGCUAUGUUGGCCGGGCGACGGUUGUCCCGGUUUAAGCGUGUAGGUGUGUGUUCCAGGUAAAUCCGGUUCACUUUAACACUGAGGCGUGAUGACGAGGCACUACGGUGCUGAAGCAACAAAUGCCCUGCUUCCAGGAAAAGCCUCUAAGCAUCAGGUAACAUCAAAUCGUACCCCAAACCGACACAGGUGGUCAGGUAGAGAAUACCAAGGCGCUUGAGAGAACUCGGGUGAAGGAACUAGGCAAAAUGGUGCCGUAACUUCGGGAGAAGGCACGCUGACACGUAGGUGAAGUGAUUUACUCAUGGAGCUGAAGUCAGUCGAAGAUACCAGCUGGCUGCAACUGUUUAUUAAAAACACAGCACUGUGCAAACACGAAAGUGGACGUAUACGGUGUGACGCCUGCCCGGUGCCGGAAGGUUAAUUGAUGGGGUCAGCGCAAGCGAAGCUCCUGAUCGAAGCCCCGGUAAACGGCGGCCGUAACUAUAACGGUCCUAAGGUAGCGAAAUUCCUUGUCGGGUAAGUUCCGACCUGCACGAAUGGCGUAAUGAUGGCCAGGCUGUCUCCACCCGAGACUCAGUGAAAUUGAACUCGCUGUGAAGAUGCAGUGUACCCGCGGCAAGACGGAAAGACCCCGUGAACCUUUACUAUAGCUUGACACUGAACAUUGAGCCUUGAUGUGUAGGAUAGGUGGGAGGCUUUGAAGUGUGGACGCCAGUCUGCAUGGAGCCGACCUUGAAAUACCACCCUUUAAUGUUUGAUGUUCUAACGUGGACCCGUGAUCCGGGUUGCGGACAGUGUCUGGUGGGUAGUUUGACUGGGGCGGUCUCCUCCUAAAGAGUAACGGAGGAGCACGAAGGUUGGCUAAUCCUGGUCGGACAUCAGGAGGUUAGUGCAAUGGCAUAAGCCAGCUUGACUGCGAGCGUGACGGCGCGAGCAGGUGCGAAAGCAGGUCAUAGUGAUCCGGUGGUUCUGAAUGGAAGGGCCAUCGCUCAACGGAUAAAAGGUACUCCGGGGAUAACAGGCUGAUACCGCCCAAGAGUUCAUAUCGACGGCGGUGUUUGGCACCUCGAUGUCGGCUCAUCACAUCCUGGGGCUGAAGUAGGUCCCAAGGGUAUGGCUGUUCGCCAUUUAAAGUGGUACGCGAGCUGGGUUUAGAACGUCGUGAGACAGUUCGGUCCCUAUCUGCCGUGGGCGCUGGAGAACUGAGGGGGGCUGCUCCUAGUACGAGAGGACCGGAGUGGACGCAUCACUGGUGUUCGGGUUGUCAUGCCAAUGGCACUGCCCGGUAGCUAAAUGCGGAAGAGAUAAGUGCUGAAAGCAUCUAAGCACGAAACUUGCCCCGA
rnacentral:rRNA from 1 species